rnacentral:lncRNA from 1 species
CCUGUUUAAUGUUGUAUGCCAAAUAUCACUAGAAUUUCGUACCUGUUACAAAAUUAACACUUACAUGAAAUAAUCAUGUCGAAAAUAGUGUUUGAUCCUAUCGAUCGUUGACAGUGUUAACAACCUGCUAAGUUCAUUGUUUUCGAUCUGGUUAUAUUUUUUUUUUGUGUCGCCGUAUAUUGGUAUCACGAAGUCGUCGUCGUCGUCGUCCGCAGACGGAUAAUAACUUUAGUAUAAAUAAAAAGAAAUGAAUAAAAUUUUAACAAAAUGUUAUUAACCACAAAAGGAAGAUUGGGAUUGAUUUUGGGGGGUAUGGUCCCAACGGUUUAGAAAUUAAGGGCCCAAAGGGCCCAAAACAAGCAUUUAUCUAGUUUCAGGACAAUCAGUUGUGUAUUAGUAUUUCAAUUGCUCUGAUAUUGUACCACAAAGUAGAAGACGGAUUUAUUUGAAGGGUUAUGGGGCAAACGGUAUAGGAAUUAAGGGCCAAAAUAAGCAUGUUUGUAGUUACGGGACAAUAUCUUAUGUAUAACUGUAUGGAUCUCUCUGACAUUGUACCACAAGGCAAUCUAAUUAAAAACCGAUCUCUCAUCGCUCCUGUUUCUGAUAUGUCGCGUGGGAGAUCUAACGAAACCCGCUUAGAGGUCACAUGUGAGUGACCUCGUAGGUGUGUCUUUUUCGACCAAUGAAAUUGAGUCUUCCACGAUCUUGGAAGUUUAACGUAAGGCAAAGGGAUGUAACUCAUUUUAUUUACGACGAAAUCGUCAGUCAAAAUAAUUCAUAAACUUUUUUGAUUGGCUUAUUAAUAGGUCGUCAAAUCAUUUGCAUAUCUUUAUAAAUUCAUAACUUUUAGUUCACUCACAUGUGACCUCAAAGCCGGUCUCGUUAGAUCUCCCACGCGACAUAUCAGAAACAGGAGCGAUGAGAGAUCGGUUUUUAAUUAGAUUGACCACAAGGUUCCAUAUAACGAAAGGAAGGCUUUGUUCUGGGUUAAUAUCCCUAAACAUUUAGGAAUAAGGGACCAAAAAAGGGCCAGAAAGAAGCAUUUUUCUAGUUUACAGGCAAUAACUUUGGUUUAAGUUAAUGGAUCUCUCAAAUUAUACUACAAGGUUUCUUACUACAAAGGAAAGGCUGGAAUUGAGUUUUGAGGUUCUUGCUCCAAAGGGGGGGGGGUUAUAAGUGAGGGGUAAAAAAAAGGGGCCCAAAUAGCAUUUUUGUAGUUUUCAGUCAAUAACUUGUGUUUAAGUACUGAAAAUAUACCACAAUAUUCCAUACUACAAAGGGAUGGUUAUGGGGGUUAUUGGCUCAAAUCAUUAAGCAAUAAGGGGAAAACAAGGUUUUUUUUUCUGGUUAAAGGAUAAUUUAGACAAAAUAAAAGCAGUGUAAGGGAGGUAAUGCAAUUUUAAAAAAAAUUAAAGAAUACUGUUAUAUACAUAUAUAUAUAGAUCUAUACUAUUAAACGAGAAAACCACA